GACGAACGCUGGCGGCGUGCUUAACACAUGCAAGUCGAACGGAAAGGCCCUGCUUUUGUGGGGUGCUCGAGUGGCGAACGGGUGAGUAACACGUGAGUAACCUGCCCUUGACUUUGAGAUAUUCUCAGAACACGGGGGCCAAUCGCGGAUAAGAUCUCCCGCCGUUGGGUGGGGGUGGGAAUGUUUCGGCGGUUGGGGAGGGACCCGCGGCUUAUCAGCUUGUUGGGGGGGUAGUGGCUUCCCAAGGCUGUGAGGCGUAGGGGGCCUGAGAGGGUGACCGGCCACAUUGGGACUGGGAUACGGCCCAGACUCCUACGGGAGGCAGCAGUGGGGAAUAUUGCACAAUGGGCGGAAGCCUGAUGCAGCAACGCCGCGUGCGGGAUAACGGCCUUCGGGUUGUAAACCGCUUUCGCCUGUGACGAAGCGUGAGUGACGGUAAUGGGUAAAGAAGCACCGGCUAACUACGUG
rnacentral:rRNA from 1 species